rnacentral:rRNA from 1 species
AACGAACGCUGGCGGCAUGCCUAACACAUGCAAGUCGAACGGAUGGUCGCAAGACCAUUAGUGGCGGACGGGUGCGUAACGCGUGGGAACCUGCCUUGAAGUUCGGAAUAACUGCGGGAAACUGCAGCUAAUACCGGAUGUGGCCUGCGGGCCAAAGGGGAAACUCGCUUCAAGAGGGGCCCGCGUCCGAUUAGCUAGUUGGCGGGGUAACGGCCCACCAAGGCGAUGAUCGGUAGCGGUCUGAGAGGACGACCAGCCACACUGGAACUGAGAUACGGUCCAGACUCCUACGGGAGGCAGCAGUGGGGAAUAUUGGACAAUGGGGCAACCCUGAUCCAGCAAUGCCGCGUGAGUGAUGAAGGCCUUCGGUUGU